CAUUUACACAGCAGGGAGAUAAGGGCACAAAAGGGAGAGCUGCUGGGGUGCGGUCAAGGCCGUGGGUGACUCGCUGGUACACCCACCCCAUGAUGCAGGCGGUUACUCCCAAGCCCAGAACCAUAUGCUCUUAGCUCCCCUUUGUCGUUUGGAGCUUCCCAUUUUAUUUCCCUGAGAAAUCCCUGCUCAGCUGCCCUAGACUUGGGUGGGUGGUCCUUCUGCUUUUUAGGCCUGGGGUGCUUGUUGGGGCCCAGAGCUGGGCCUUGCCUGAGAGUCACGCAAAAGCAGGGCCUUCCAGUACUCCAGAGGGGUACUCCUGACCACCUGUAAGCCAUGGGAAGAAAGUCAAUGUGAUUGGAUCACGGCAGUGCCACACAGUAUGUCCCUUCUCAGGGGUUGGCCGAGCGAGGGCUGGAGGCAGUGUCUUCAGUUGCACCUAGGUGCUGUAAAGGUGACACUCCUGGACCUAGACCUGGGCCUGCAUGUGGAGAGAAGUGAGGCCGCUGAGUUUUGUAUUUUUAGCAGAGAUGGGGUUUCGCAUGUUGGCCAGGCUGGUCUUGAACCCCUGACCUCAAGUGAUCCUCUCACCUUGGCCUCCCAAAGUGCUGAGAUUACAGGCGUGAGCCACCACACCCAGCCCAUACACACUUACUGAUUUCAUUUUUUAUAGAAAGCAGCCAGCUUUCCUGACCUUUGGUUGCCAAACAGAACAAGCAAAUCCACAUAUAUCCAUCUCUAGGGUUUAGUUUAGAAUAAGAAAAACUAGGGGUGGGGCCUACUUUUGUUUUCCAACCUCUCCCCAGCUGCUUUUUUCAGGUAAGUAGUUGCCUCUUUUGGGGUCUCAUUGUUACUAAGCUGGGUGUUGAUGUGCUGAGAAGGAAGACCUGUGCUCUUAGUCUUGGGGAUGUUUUCUGCCCUCCUUGUGUUAAGAUAAUCUUGUAAGUGUCAAAGGCCACAGCUCUGCAGCCUUUUGGCACAGGUGAGGUAAGAGAAAUUUCAUUUUCCUUUCCUUCUGGUUUACCCUGCUCCUUAUUCCCAGAUGC
rnacentral:lncRNA from 1 species